rnacentral:rRNA from 1 species
CCUACGGGAGGCAGCAGUAAGGGAUAUUGGUCAAUGGGGGAAACCCUGAACCAGCAACGCCGCGUGAGGGAAGACGGUCUUCGGAUUUUAAACCUCUUUCCUCUGUGAAGAUGAUGACUGUACCAGAGCAGGAAGCUCCGGCUAACUACGUUCCAGCAGCCGCGGUAAUACGGAGGGCGAGAGCGGUGUCCGGAUUUACUGGGUGUAAAGGGGGCGUAGGUGGCUUGGUAAGUCAGUAGUGAAAUGGAUGGGCUUAACACAUGCACUGCUAUUGAAACUGUCGAGCUUGAGUGAAGUAGAGGUAGGCGGAAUGCCUGGUGUAGCGGUGAAAUGCGUAGAGAUCGGGAGGAACACCAGUGGCGAAGGCAGCAUACUGGGCUUUCACUGACGCUGAGGCACGAAAGCGUGGGUAGCAAACAGGAUUAGAUACCCGUGUAGUC